UAGUCCACGCCGUAAACGAUGUCUAUUAGGAGUCUGUGGCCUUGAGCCGUGGGUUCCAAAGCUAACGCAUUAAAUAGACCGCCUGGGGAGUACGGUCGCAAGAUUAAAACUCAAAGGAAUUGACGGGGCCCGCACAAGCGGUGGAGCAUGUGGUUUAAUUCGAUGCUACGCGAAAACCUUACCUGGGCUUGACAUCCUAGGCUACCCUGGGAAACCAGGGGUUCUCUUCGGAGACCUAGUGACAGGUGCUGCAUGGCUGUCGUCAGCUCGUGUUGUGAGAUGUUGGGUUAAGUCCCGCAACGAGCGCAACCCCUGUUGUUAGUUGCCAGCGAGUGAUGUCGGGAACUCUAACAAGACUGCCAGUGCAAACUGUGAGGAAGGUGGGGAUGACGUCAAAUCAUCACGGGCCCUUAGUCCUGGGGCUACGACACGUGCUACAAUGGUAGGUACAGAGAGCA
rnacentral:rRNA from 1 species